CUGCGCUCGAGCGCGGUCCCCCGGGCUGACGGCCAGCCCUGCGGAUGGACGGGCCGUGUGCCCUGUCGCCCUGCGCCUGCUGAACUCCGAGCACCCGAGGAUGUCUGCGCUGAGGAAGGUCUGUAUGAGCUGUUGGCUGUUGUGCAGGCCGGCUGGGGCCACGUGUGGACAGCCAGGAAGACCUGACCUUCCUCUGGGAUAUGUUUGGUGAGAAAAGCCUGCAUUCACCGGUAAAGAAGUUACUCGUCGAGCACCAUUUUCCUUUAGAUCUUCACAAUAUCCUGGGUAGCCUUAUGUUGUGAGGUGGAAGUCUCUACUCUUCUGUGGCUGCUGUGGCCAAGACUUUGAAUACUGUGUUAGCAUCCUCGCCUUGUUCCUGAUGUUAAGCAGGAAGCUUUUCCCUGUUGAGCAUGAUGCUAGCUGUGCACUGGUUAUACGUGGCCUUACAUUUUGAGAUUUUAUUUAUUUAGUCGUGAGAGAGGCAGACACACAGGCAGAGGGAGAAGCAGGCUCCAAGCAGGGAGCCCAACAAGGGACUUGAUCCCAGGACCUCGACCCAGGCCACCUGCGUCUUCUUGAAUGGCAUUUUUAGUAAGCAAAGAAUGCUAGUAGUGCUAAGUUGCCAGUGGAAACUGCCCAUGGGCCACAUGAGAGACCACGGAUCCUGUAAUGCUGGGAGGCAUAAAGCUGGCACAGAAGUGCUGCAGAGAGGCUGUCACCAGUUAGAGGGAAGGAGCCAGAGAAGCAAGAGGUGUGGCAACAGCCAAGGGUCUUCAAAGGUAGAUGGACUGUGCACUCCCUUCCUGAAUGGGAGACCAGCAGAGAGACCUUGGGGGCACGCCCUGCCCAGCCCUGCCCAGCCUCGCCCAGGCUCCAGCCGGAGGCUCCGCCCCAGGCCAUGGCCUUCCACUUACUCACGUGACCAUGCCACAGGCAUGCAGAGAGGCAGGCUGAGCUCUGCCAGGCCAGCAGGGUCCGUGCCAGGCCUGGUGGACUUCGAGGACAAGGAGCAGGUGAAGGCCUUUCUGGAGAACGUGGUGGAGUGCAAGUACCAGUGCUACUGUGAGAAGGACCCGAAUGAUUCAUGAAAAGCUCUACUACUAUGAGAAGUAGAACCCUGUGCCCAUCCUCCACAGCACAGCAGUCUUGGCUGAUGAUGUAAGUGUGCCUUUCGGAGCUCCCUGCCACCCGGCUCCCUUGGGCCCGGUCCUGAGCAGAGCUCUUCCUGGCGCAGACACAAGUGUGAGAUCCUGGGAGUGAAAACCAGAAGCCGCUGCAAAUGUUUCCAAAAGUCCUGUCACCGAGGACCUUAUGCGGAUACUGUGCUGAUUUGCAUUCACUCUCCUGCUCAAAAAAUUGUGCGUGGGGAUGUCCUCUGUUCUACCUGGGUGGCUACAGUAGCAGAAGUCUGAGGCUAGAACUCUCUGGGCAGAGAGAAACUGUCAGCUACUAGUGUUCUGAGAAAGGCACAGGCAGGAGGAAUGCUUUGGAGAAAUAAAGACAAAUCAGCUAGGUCUGUUGCUGACAGUGCUAAAAACUGACAGAUACGCUAGUGUCGGAACGAGGCCUGAUGAAAUACAUAAAAAGACAGGAUUGUUUUCAAAAUGAAGUAUAAAGCAUCAUAAUGAUUUAUGGAUAUUAGACCUUUCCACAUUACCUUCAUAACCAAAGAAUAAGUGACAGAAGCAGUUAGCAUUGAUGGAGUAAUUUCCUGUAGCUAUCAUUUUAUUUUCAAUCUUGGAAUGAAUUACCUUGCUGUUCCUUGCCGUUCACUUUCAAACUCAGAUGAAUUGAAAGCACACCUGGAUAAACUGUAAAGGACACUGAGGCAGAGGAGAAAUAGGUCUCCUGUGAAGGUCUGUAUGAGCUGUUGGCUGUUCUGCCAGUCCAGCUGGGGCCACGUGUGGACAGCCAGGAAGACCUGACCUUCCUCUGGGAUAUGUUUGGUGAGAAAAGCCUGCAUUCACUGGUAAAGGUAAAAACCAUGCUGAUGUCAGAUUCUCUUGGUGGGAAAACAUGGAAAAACAUUUUGAGUGCUGUCUCAUAAACCAGAGAUCAAAUUGUUGCCUUCUGCAAGGCAGAACAAAUCAGCCUUGUUCCGUGAUGAGCAUGGAAGUUGUUAAAGAUUUUACCAAAAAUACCUAGAUGAUUUCCCUUAAUGGUGGUGAUCUGGCUGUGUGCACUAAUGAAGCCAACGUAUGCCUGCCCUUGUUUAGAAGAAGAAUAUGAAAUAAUAGCAGGAAGGUAUAGGCUCCUUAUGGACAACAUUCAUGAGCUGGAAUUUAGCUUGAGUAAUGAAUGGUCACAACAAAAAUUAGAAGGAAUAUAUUUUCUGAGGUUAAGGAUGGCAGCAGUUCAUAGCCACAUUAAUUUAAAAUAAUUACCUUUCCACACCAAUCUUAAGAUAAUUCGUUCCAACUCUCUGAAGAAAGUCCAUGGUAUUUUGAUAGGGAUUGCAUUAAAUGUGUAAAUUGCCCUGGGUAACAUUGACAUUUUCACUAUAUUAAUUCUUCCAAUCCAUGACCAUGGAGUAUUUUUCCAUCUCUUUAUGUCUUCCUCAAUUUCUUUCAGAAGUGUUCCCUAGUUUUUAGGUUGGUUCGUUUAUUCCUAGGUAUCUUAGGCU